rnacentral:rRNA from 1 species
AUUGAACGCUGGCGGCAUGCCUUACACAUGCAAGUCGAACGGUAACGGGCCUUCGGGUGCCGACGAGUGGCGAACGGGUGAGUAAUGUAUCGGAACGUACCUUUCAGUGGGGGAUAACGUAGCGAAAGUUACGCUAAUACCGCAUAUUCUGUGAGCAGGAAAGCAGGGGAUCGCAAGACCUUGCGCUGAUUGAGCGGCCGAUAUCAGAUUAGCUAGUUGGUGAGGUAAAGGCUCACCAAGGCGACGAUCUGUAGCGGGUCUGAGAGGAUGAUCCGCCACACUGGAACUGAGACACGGUCCAGACUCCUACGGGAGGCAGCAGUGGGGAAUUUUGGACAAUGGGGGCAACCCUGAUCCAGCCAUGCCGCGUGAGUGAAGAAGGUCUUCGGAUCGUAAAGCUCUGUCCUUGGGGAAGAAGGUCUUCGGACUUGACGGUACCCAAGAAGAAAGCCCCGGCUAACUACGUG